ACGGGUGAGUAACACGUAAGUAAUCUACCCUCGAGUGGGGAAUAACGUCCGGAAACGGACGCUAAUACCGCAUAAUGCAGCGGCACCGCAAGGUGACAGUUGUUAAAGAUUUAUCGCUUGAGGAGGAGCUUGCGGCAGAUUAGCUAGUUGGUAAGGUAAUGGCUUACCAAGGCUACGAUCUGUAACCGGUCUAAGAGGACGGUCGGUCACACUGACACUGAAUAACGGGUCAG
rnacentral:rRNA from 1 species